UACGGAGGGGGCGAGCGUUAUUCGGAAUUAUUGGGCGUAAAGGGCGCGUAGGCGGCGCGAUAAGUCAAAGGUGAAAUCCCUCGGCUCAACUGAGGAACUGCCUUUGAGACUGUCGAGCUUGAGGCCGGGAGGGGGUAGCGGAAUUCCCAGUGUAGCGGUGAAAUGCGUAGAUAUUGGGAGGAACACCAGUGGCGAAGGCGGCUACCUGGACCGGAUCUGACGCUGAUGCGCGAAAGCGUGGGUAGCAAACAGG
rnacentral:rRNA from 1 species